GUGCUUGCAUCAUGAUUUACAUUUGAGUGAGUGGCGAACUGGUGAGUAACACGUGGGAAACCUGCCCAGAAGCGGGGGAUAACACCUGGAAACAGAUGCUAAUACCGCAUAACAACUUGGACCGCAUGGUCCGAGUUUGAAAGAUGGCUUCGGCUAUCACUUUUGGAUGGUCCCGCGGCGUAUUAGCUAGAUGGUGGGGUAACGGCUCACCAUGGCAAUGAUACGUAGCCGACCUGAGAGGGUAAUCGGCCACAUUGGGACUGAGACACGGCCCAAACUCCUACGGGAGGCAGCAGUAGGGAAUCUUCCACAAUGGACGAAAGUCUGAUGGAGCAACGCCGCGUGAGUGAAGAAGGGUUUCGGCUCGUAAAACUCUGUUGUUAAAGAAGAACAUAUCUGAGAGUAACUGUUCAGGUAUUGACGGUAUUUAACCAGAAAGCCACGGCUAACUACGUGCCAGCAGCCGCGGUAAUACGUAGGUGGCAAGCGUUGUCCGGAUUUAUUGGGCGUAAAGCGAGCGCAGGCGGUUUUUUAAGUCUGAUGUGAAAGCCUUCGGCUCAACCGAAGAAGUGCAUCGGAAACUGGGAAACUUGAGUGCAGAAGAGGACAGUGGAACUCCAUGUGUAGCGGUGAAAUGCGUAGAUAUAUGGAAGAACACCAGUGGCGAAAGCGGCUGUCUGGUCUGUAACUGACGCUGAGGCUCGAAAGUAUGGGUAGCAAACAGGAUUAGAUACCCUGGUAGUCCAUACCGUAAACGAUGAAUGCUAAGUGUUGGAGGGUUUCCGCCCUUCAGUGCUGCAGCUAACGCAUUAAGCAUUCCGCCUGGGGGAGUACGGCCGCAAGGCUGAAACUCAAAGGAAUUGACGGGGGCCCGCACAAGCGGUGGAGCAUGUGGUUUAAUUCGAAGCUACGCGAAGAACCUUACCAGGUCUUGACAUACUAUGCAAAUCUAAGAGAUUAGACGUUCCCUUCGGGGACAUGGAUACAGGUGGUGCAUGGUUGUCGUCAGCUCGUGUCGUGAGAUGUUGGGUUAAGUCCCGCAACGAGCGCAACCCUUAUUAUCAGUUGCCAGCAUUAAGUUGGGCACUCUGGUGAGACUGCCGGUGACAAACCGGAGGAAGGUGGGGAUGACGUCAAAUCAUCAUGCCCCUUAUGACCUGGGCUACACACGUGCUACAAUGGAUGGUACAACGAGUUGCGAACUCGCGAGAGUAAGCUAAUCUCUUAAAGCCAUUCUCAGUUCGGAUUGUAGGCUGCAACUCGCCUACAUGAAGUCGGAAUCGCUAGUAAUCGCGGAUCAGCAUGCCGCGGUGAAUACGUUCCCGGGCCUUGUACACACCGCCCGUCACACCAUGAGAGUUUGUAACACCCAAAGUCGGUGGGGUAACCUUUUAGGAACCAGCCGCCU
rnacentral:rRNA from 1 species